UUCUUCAAAAAAAUUUUUUUAAAAAAAUUAAUUAAUUAAAAGGAACUCGGCAAACUUAGUUGCUUCGCCUGUUUAUCAAAAACAUGGCUCUCUGCUUAUAUAAAUAUAGGGAGUCGAGCCUGCCCAGUGAAUUUUUUAACGGCCGCGGUACUCUGACCGUGCAAAGGUAGCAUAAUCAUUUGCCUUAUAAUUGAAGGCUAGUAUGAAUGGUUUGACGAGAGCAACGCUGUCUCUUUUUUAUUUCCAAGAACUUAACUUUUAGGUGAAGAGGCCUAAAUUUUAUUGAAGGACAAGAAGACCCUGUCGAGCUUAAAAGACAUUAUAGAAGUCUAUAUAUAUUUUAAAUAAAUUUUCUAUUAAGCUUUUUAGUUGGGGCGACUAAGGAACAAAAAAAGCUUCUUGUUAACGAUAAACAAUCAUGUUUAGAUCCGAUAAUAAUCGAUCGGGGGAAUUAGUUACCGCAGGGAUAACAGCAUAAUCUCUCUUGAGAGACCUAAUCGAAAGAGGGGGUUGUGACCUCGAUGUUGGACUAGAAUAUCCUAAAGGUGC
rnacentral:rRNA from 1 species